ensembl:lncRNA
CCCCUCCACACCUCCUGGUCUCUGGGGAACCUUGCUGCUCAACUUUCUUUUUUAAUUGACUUGUUUGCGUUUAAGAUAUGCAACCGCUAUCUUGGUCCUGUUGAGUUACGUCACUUUCGGAUGACCGGGCCCCGGUUUGUUAUCUGAAAUCAAUCAGUUGACCAUCUAUUUGUUCGGUUUGAAGAACAGAUAACUGCAUUUAGGCAAGAGAAAUAUGAGAAAGAAGAAGCUGAUUCAUUUCCACACCCAAGAAAGUGUUGAUUCAGAAUUGGAAUCAUUUCCAUAAUGGGGGGCCCAACAGGAAGAAGCACGGCAGAAGUUCAACCAACACAUGUGAGAAGGUCAACUCAGGUUGUCGUCGUGACUACACUUCCUGACCCAACCAGUUACCCCCGCUUUUACUUUCUACAGAGCACAGGAGUUUAUUGAGGCCGCUGCCAUCACAGAGCCCAUCCCUCCACCUCAAGCACCUCUUCUGAAUUGGUAGCCCUAAGCCACCCAAUCCCCAGGAAGAUAGAAAGAUUAACCAUCGACUGAUGGUUUAAAAUUGUUGAUGCCUUUUUGUAAUGUGCAAUAUUAUUUCCAUUAAAUCACUGGUUCUUGUUUGUAUGAUAUUUAUUAGGGGUGUGCAUCACCAUCUCUUCUUUACAGGACGAUCCAAUACGUAUCUAGAUACAUGUGCUACGAUACGGUUCAGGGACGAUACAUUUUACACUUUUUCUCAGUCGCUUUGGUACAUUUCUCAGAUCAGAAUUGAAAUUGGCAAAACAGUAAGUGCAUUUCUCAAAACAAUUCGUACAAAUAGCAAAACUCCAUUGAUUUCAUGUAAAAGCAAGUCUCUUGCUCAAAAUCCUUUGUUCGUUUCUCAAAAGUAAAUAUCUGUGUCAAUGAACAUGUCAGUGCCAUCAAAAUGACAAGUCCUUGUGUCAUUGUGUAUGGAUAAGACAGUCAAAUUGCUUAGUCAUGUUGUGAAUAUAACAGUGGGAUGUUCUGAUGUAAACCAUGGCUAAAGUUUUGAAGACAAUUAUUGUCAAUUGUAAGUUACACCUUAGUGUAUGUGGGAGAUUGAUUGCAAGAGACAGAACAAGAUUCACAUUUACGCUUUGACUGUUUGUACUGUAAUUUGUUGACAGACCAUGUCAUUGCUAGAAAUGUGAACAUAGGAAAAUCUUCUUAUGGUAAACUGUACAUGCAUUGCUGUAGGAAUAACAGUGCAGUCAUCCACUCCUGACGUUCUUGUCUGUUGGGCCACAAAUUCUCAGACAAUGUUACAUUGUGUUAUGCUCCAGCUAUAUACUUUAUAUACUUGCCAGUUCAUGGUUCAGGAGAUGCACCUUUGAACUAUUCCAGUAAACUGGUUGAUCGUUGGUUGAUCUAACACUUCACACAUUUCCCUUCUUUAGAGAAAGUCAAGAUUCACCUGGUAGCAAUUUACCAAUUCAGGACAGAUUUAGAAAAAAAGUCUGAUGGAAAUGUUUAGAAAUAUGCUUGAAAUAUUAUGACAACAUGUUCAACCAUUUUGCAUGUAAAGAUUUAUGCAAUGAACUAAUGCCUAAAUGUUUUUGGGGUGAGACUAUUCAAUGGAGACCCAUUACAAUACAUUUUGAUCAACAUGACGUAAGCAAUGUUGAAUUCUCAUUCAAAGAAAUGAGAAACUGCUUUUUGGAUGUGCACAAACGACAGAAUGAUGUGAAGAUUGAACAGGUUGUUUUGAGAAUUUCAAUUCUGAUCUGAGAAAUGUACCAAAGCGACUGAGAAAAACUGUUCCAAUUGGAUGGCAACCGGAUACCGUGGAUGGCUUACUACCUCAAGUUCUAUGUUUAUUCUGGUUUCAUAUAUUAUGUUGAUCUUGUAUAAUGUUUGAUCCAAAAUAAAGUUUCUGCAGUUUCUAACAGAUUGUGAGCAUGAAUAAUGUUGUUAUCUAAUCAUACCGUGCUUUUCCAUGUGGGUAAGGUUGCAUUCCUAAGACAUUCGAACUAUAAAGGAAAAUUUCAGAGAUGGA